rnacentral:rRNA from 1 species
UAGUCCACGCCGUAAACGCUGUCAACUCGUAGUCUGUGGCUUCGGCCGUGGGUUACCUAGCUAACGCGAUAAGUUGACCGCCUGGGGAGUACGGCCGCAAGGUUAAAACUCAAAUGAAUUGACGGGGGCCCGCACAAGCGGUGGAGCAUGUGGUUUAAUUCGAAGCAACGCGAAGAACCUUACCAUCCCUUGACAUCCUGCGAAGCGGAGAGAGAUUUCCGUGUGCCUUCGGGAGCGCAGAGACAGGUGCUGCAUGGCUGUCGUCAGCUCGUGUUGUGAAAUGUUGGGUUAAGUCCCGCAACGAGCGCAACCCUUAUCCUCAGUUGCCAGCACUUCGGGUGGGAACUCUGUGGAGACUGCCGGUGACAAACCGGNGGAAGGUGGGGACGACGUCAAGUCAUCAUGGCCCUUACGGGAUGGGCUACACACGUGCUACAAUGGCGCGUACAAAGGGAAGCGAACUGGUGACAGUAAGCGGAUCUCAUCAAAUCGCGUCGUAGUCCGGAUC